rnacentral:rRNA from 1 species
GACGAACCGUGCGAACGUUGUUCGGAAUCACUGGGCUUAAAGGGCGCGUAGGCGGACCGCCAAGUCCGAGGUGAAAUCCUCCAGCUCAACUGGAGAACUGCCUUGGAUACUGGAGGUCUCGAGGGAGGUAGGGGCAAGCGGAACUGUGGGUGGAGCGGUGAAAUGCGUUGAUAUCCACAGGAACUCCGGUGGCGAAGGCGGCUUGCUGGCUCAUAUCUGACGCUCAGGCGCGACAGCGUGGGGAUCAAACAGG